GUGUGGGGGCAACAAGGGAGCAGUGUGAUAUUAAAGUGAUUGUGAGUGUCUUUAAAAGCUGUUGUUUUCUCACAAAAAAGUACAAAAUUGCAAGCAUUUGAAUUGGAAAUUUCAAGCUAUGAAGAUGACAGGAACAGACAAUGCAGAUGUGGAAAAAUGCGGUGAAAGUAAGGUUGAAGGAGAAGAGAGAUGGAGGACAGUUGAGUGUUUAAGAGGAAGAUUGCUUGCUGAGAGAAUGGCUUCCAAAAAUGCUAGGGAGGAGGCAGACCAAUUGGGAAUAAGGCUGGUGGAAAUGGAAAGGCUGUUAGAGCAAGAGGAAAAGUCGAGAACCAAAGCUGAGAAGAAGCU